rnacentral:rRNA from 1 species
CCUACGGGAGGCUGCAGUGAGGAAUAUUUGUCAAUGGGCGAGAGCCUGAACCAGCCAAGUAGCGUGAGGGAGUACUGACCUAUGGGUUGUAAACCUCUUUUGUCGGGGAGCAAAAGCCGGACGUGUCCGGCUGUGAGAGUACCCGAAGAAAAAGCAUCGGCUAACUCCGUGCCAGCAGCCGCGGUCAUACGGAGGAUGCGAGCGUUAUCCGGCUUUACUGGGUGUAAAGGGAGCGUAGACGGUUGUGCAAGUCUGAAGUGAAAGCCCGCGGCUCAACUGCGGAACGGCUUUGGAAACUGUGUAACUGGAGUGCUGGAGAGGUAAGCGGAAUUCCGGGUGUAGCGGUGAAAUGCGUAGAGAGCAGGAGGAACACCGGCGGCGAAGGCGGCUUACUGGACAGUAACUGACGUUGAGGCUCGAAAGCGUGGGGAGCAAACAGGAUUAGAUACCCGAGUAGUC